UGGCUCUGUUGUUAAUCGCGUGGCACUGGCAAUGCCAAGGUUGUGGGUUCAAUUCCCAC
rnacentral:tRNA from 1 species